AACGAACGCUGGCGGCAUGCCUAACACAUGCAAGUCGAACGAGACCUUCGGGUCUAUGUGUGCACGUGUGCGUACCGCGUGGUAAGCUGCCCUUGGGUUCGGAAUAAUUCCCUGAGAGGUGUGCUAAUACCGGUUAAGGUCUUCCGACCAACGGUGUAUCGCUAUUGGAUGGGCGCGUGUUAGAUUAGCGAGUUGGUAGUGUACAAGCCUACCAAGGCGACGUUGCAUAGCUGGUCUGAGAGGAGGCUCCACCCCACUGGGACUGCGACACGGCCUACAGUGCUACGCAGCGGAGGAGUAGAGAAUAUUGGACGCUGGGCGAAAACCUGAUCACGCAGCGCGCGGUAUGUGAUGAAGGCCUUAGGGUUGUACAGCCCUUUUAGACGGGACGAUAAUGACGGUAACGGGAGAAUAAGCUCCGGCUAACUACGUG
rnacentral:rRNA from 1 species